AGUGAACGCUGGCGGUAGGCCUAACACAUGCAAGUCGAACGGCAGCACAGUAAGAGCUUGCUCUUACGGGUGGCGAGUGGCGGACGGGUGAGGAAUACAUCGGCAUCUACUUUUUCGUGGGGGAUAACGUAGGGAAACUUACGCUAAUACCGCAUACGAUCUACGGGUGAAAGCAGGGGAUCUUCGGACCUUGCGCGAUUGAAUGAGCCGAUGUCGGAUUAGCUAGUUGGCGGGGUAAAGGCCCACCAAGGCGACGAUCCGUAGCUGGUCUGAGAGGAUGAUCGGCCACACUGGAACUGAGACACGGUCCAGACUCCUACGGGAGGCAGCAGUGGGGAAUGUUGGGCAAUGGGCGCAAGCCUGAUCCAGCAAGACCGCGUGGGUGAAGAAGGCCUUCGGGUUGUAAAGCCCUUUUGUUGGGAAAGAAAAGCAGCAGGUUAAUACCACGCUGUUCUGACGGUACCCAAAGAAUAAGCACCGGCUAACUACGUG
rnacentral:rRNA from 1 species